AGAUAAGAUUUUCAAAAUAUGUUUUCUUUUUUAUCACUUUCAUGAUUUUAUCGAACAUAUUUACUUUUUAAAGAACAUUAUGUUUUAAAAUGUGUCCGUUAGGGUUGGAGCGACAACCUUGGGGAGAGGGGGCAAGAAGAUGUGUCCUUUUGGGCCUUUUUCAGUUCUUCCUUUCGCCGAGUGGCCAUCAUAGAAAAGGCAUUUGACUUUUCCUUCUCAAUGGCAACCAUAACAUUUGAAAGGAAAAAACAAAACUUAGAUAGUGUAGUGUAUGGGGAAAGGAUGGUCGGGUGGAGAGAGAAUCUGAUCGGGUAGAGAGAGAAACCGAUCGGUUAUAGGGAGAUGGAGUAGUGGGCAGGAUAUAGGAGCGACAAUCUCGGAGACACAUGCAUCAGUUACGUUUAGUGGGCGAAAGAUUAGGGAUUUUAGGGUCGACGGUUACGGAUAGUGCGCAGUCCAGAGUUAUGACAGGGGUCUAUAAAUACAGGAGUAAUGGGUCAGGUAAACCACUUUUGAUCUAAUCACUUUCACCUUGAAUAUAUUGUGACCCUGCUAACUUGAGCGUCAGAGUGCUAACGUGCAGGUUGCACCCGUUUAGGCAUGAAGGAGGAUCGAUCGGUUUGAGUUCUGUCUAGGGACCUACAUCCGAAACAUUUUGGCGCCCACCGUGGGGCCCGAAGAUUUAGUUAUAACCCGAACACGAUCACAAAUGGUAGAGGAGGCAUCAUUACAGCUCUUACA
rnacentral:lncRNA from 1 species